GUGAGGAAUAUUGGACAAUGGGCGCAAGCCUGAUCCAGCCAUGCCGCGUACAGGAAGACGCAUCUAUGGUGUGUAAACUGCUUUUGUACGGGAAGAAACACUCCCUCGUGAGGGAGCUUGACGGUACCGUAAGAAUAAGGAUCGGCUAACUCCGUGCCAGCAGCCGCGGUAAUACGGAGGAUCCAAGCGUUAUCCGGAAUCAUUGGGUUUAAAGGGUCCGUAGGCGGUUUAAUAAGUCAGUGGUGAAAGCCCAUCGCUCAACGAUGGAACGGCCAUUGAUACUGUUAGACUUGAAUUACAAGGAAGUAACUAGAAUAUGUAGUGUAGCGGUGAAAUGCUUAGAUAUUACAUGGAAUACCAAUUGCGAAGGCAGGUUACUACUUGUGGAUUGACGCUGAUGGACGAAAGCGUGGGGAGCGAACAGGAUUAGAUACCCGAGUAGUCC
rnacentral:rRNA from 1 species